UGGGGAAUAUUGGACAAUGGGGGGAACCCUGAUCCAGCCAUGCCGCGUGUGUGAAGAAGGCCUUAUGGUUGUAAAGCACUUUAAGCGAGGAGGAGGGUACUGGUAUUAAUACUACCAGGUACUGGACGUUACUCGCAGAAUAAGCACCGUCUAACUCUGUGCCAGCAGCCGCGGUAAUACAGAGGGUGCAAGCGUUAAUCGGAAUUACUGGGCGUAAAGCGCGCGUAGGUGGUUCGUUAAGUUGAAUGUGAAAGCCCCGGGCUCAACCUGGGAACUGCAUCCAAAACUGGCGAGCUAGAGUAGGGCAGAGGGUGGUGGAAUUUCCUGUGUAGCGGUGAAAUGCGUAGAUAUAGGAAGGAACACCAGUGGCGAAGGCGACCACCUGGGCUCAUACUGACACUGAGGUGCGAAAGCGUGGGGAGCAAACAGG
rnacentral:rRNA from 1 species